AGAUCCCCUGGAGGAGGAAAUGGCAGCCCACUCCAGUAUUCUUGCCUAGAAAAUUCCAUGGGCAAAGGAGGCUGGUGGGCUACAGUCCACGCAGCCGCCAAGAAUCAGACAAAACUGAGCAACUGGGCACAUUUUGAAAUCUUUGUCAGAAGGACCCGGAUAUGUGAAUUUCUGCUUUCAACUGUGAUCUCCGGGAAGAUCAUUAACCACCAGUAAACAGCUAAGCACUGUUGCUGCUCGCCUGGGUCAUCUGACGCUGAGCUCAUGAAUGUACCCUGAGUAACCCCUGAACUGAACUGAACAGUAACGGGGCUUCCCGGGCGCACUAGUGGUAAAGAACCUGUCUGCCUUCGCAGGAGACAAGGGUGUAGGGUCAGUCCCUGUGUCGGGAAGAUCCUCUGGAGGAGGGCAUGGCAGCCCCGCCCUCAUCAGCCCUGUGCUGCCCGCCACUCACGAUCCUUGCCCCCACAGGCCGUUCUGUCGGCUGAGUGACCUGCCUGCGUCUGCACCUGGCCCCCACUCUCCUGCCUUGCCCACCCCAGGCCUGAGGCAGCCCCCGCUGAAGGCGGGGUCACUUUCCUGCCUUCCUCAGCACAAGCCCACCUUGUCUUGAAGCUUUCCCUGGUCACCCACUUCCUGGGCCUCCCCCAGCACGUGGCCCUGCUGUUUCUCUAGCCCCAGAGGAAGUUCCUGGAGAACAAAGACCCCAGCUCUCAUCUCUGCUUAGUGAUUGUUGACAACUCGCAGAUGGGACUGAAAUGUCCAAGCAGCCUUCGGAACCCCACCAUGCCGCCCUUCACCCACACGGGAGACCCUGGGAGCCCAUUGCCACCACAGAUGGGACGUGAUCCUUCACGCCUGAUAUGUUUGCUGGUGCAGGGGGACGGUUCAAAUGACUCGUCGAGGUCUCCUGGGGUUUGAGGAAGUCUGGAUUUCUGGGAAGAAUUUUCUGGAGUGAGUGUCUUGGGGACUGCCUGGAGGGGCCUGAGGGGAAGGGGUCGCCCUGUUCCUGGGGGCAGGGCAGCGCCAGGGCUGGGGCGGCCCGCUGGGCCAGCGGGAGGGGACGGGAGGGGACGGGAGGGGACGGGAGGGCAGGGCCGGACAGCGCAGGGCGGGGAUGAGGAGGGGAAUCCCGGGAGGGCCGUCGGCCAAGGCCGGUCCCGGCGGGCGGGCGGGCGGGCGGGGAGGAGCCGCGGGG
rnacentral:lncRNA from 1 species